GGGAGACCGAGACAUAGUUACAUCAGGCAGAUCAAGGAAGAAGUUGGUGUCGUGUCGUAUCAAGAGGUGAAGAGACUCGCUGAAAAUCGUAGCGAGUGGCAAGAGCUCCACCGACAAGAGCGCAGCUCUUAAAUAUAAAUAAAUAAUAAUAAAGAAACAUAUAUAUAUAAUACUUAAUUAAAACAUAUAAAUAAUAAAUACAGCCAUAACAUAUAUCCGUGAAGUUUCUACAACAAACACAUUAAAUAAACGACAUGUUACAUUACAGGUUAUGUUGUCGUAUCGGUUCGGAAAUACUGCUGCUGGAAGUUGAUUCCAUAGAAUGGUUGUGCGUGGAAGAAAGUGC